UACGUAGGGUGCAAGCGUUAAUCGGAAUUACUGGGCGUAAAGCGUGCGCAGGCGGUUAUGUAAGACAGAUGUGAAAUCCCCGGGCUCAACCUGGGAACUGCAUUUGUGACUGCAUAGCUAGAGUACGGUAGAGGGGGAUGGAAUUCCGCGUGUAGCAGUGAAAUGCGUAGAUAUGCGGAGGAACACCGAUGGCGAAGGCAAUCCCCUGGACCUGUACUGACGCUGAGGAGCGAAAGCCAGGGGAGCAAACGGG
rnacentral:rRNA from 1 species